GAAUUCGAUUCAGGCAAAACACAUGCAAGUCGAACGAGACCUUCGGGUCUAGUGGCGCACGGGUGCGUAACGCGUGGGAAUCUGCCCUUCGGUUCGGAAUAACUCAGGGAAACUUGAGCUAAUACCGGAUAAUGACUUCGGUCCAAAGAUUUAUCGCCGAGGGAUGAGCCCGCGUAGGAUUAGCUUGUUGGUGAGGUAAAAGCUCACCAAGGCGACAAUCCUUAGCUGGUUUUAGAGGGGGAUCAGCCACACUGGGACUGAGACACGGCCCAGACUCCUACGGGAGGCAGCAGUGGGGAAU
rnacentral:rRNA from 1 species